rnacentral:lncRNA from 1 species
GGCGGGGUUGGCUCUAACGAAUUUGAAUGAGGAGCCUCAGCGCUUUCGGCGCCAUUUUCGAGUGAUGCCUGAUCUCAUCAAUCUAGCGGGAGAGACAGGAUAACCUGUCCGAGAGUAUAGCGCCACUAUGACUCCGCCGGAAAAAUUACUUUAAAAAUCGCCAAAAAUUACUUGGAGCAAAGGGCAGUCGGCGGAGCUUCGCCAAGGCUGGCGCAGUCGGUUUUGACCUGUAGCAGAGAACCAAUUCUGGAGAACAGCCUCACUUCUUUGAUUGAAUACUUACAUAAUGCAUUGGAACAUGACAUGAGAUUAAGGUUUAAUAAUGAUAGAAUGAAGACCACAAUAAAAGAGACCUCUACUUAGCUCAGCAAUUCUUACCUUUCUUACCUAUUUGAUGAAGAUGUCUUUUGAAAGGUGUACUGCAAGGAACAAAAUGUUUGUAAAUUCUCCUUUUACCAAGGUGGAUAAUUACUGUACCUUCCUCAUGGAAAAAGUUUUAUUUAAAGUGUUAUUUCUCAUUGAAUACUAUCAAAAAGGAAAAAAAAAUGACCUAAACUUUUGAGAUAGAUUUGGCUCUAGUAAGUAUUUAGUUAUAUCACUUGCAUAUCUGGGAGAAGAAAUAAGAGACUAUCAUCAGUACAUUCCCAUCUACUAAAAAAAUUUAUUUUACACAUGUCAAGGGAUUACUUAUAACUUCCAUUUUAUUACUAAUAGCUUGAACCCUUUUAAUGAAGACCUAACUCCUCCACCAGAAAUUUAAGUUUAUGUUCUUACUUUGUUUACUUAUAAAAUACAUCUCAGGUAUUUCGGAUGUCUUUUUUUUUUCUAAGCCUAUAUGAAAUGAAAAAUAUAUUGGCAAAAUAAAUGUUUAAACCUUUUACGUUAAAAUUACUUUGAAAGAUGAAAAGUUAGUGCUGUUUUUGUCUACGUUAUACUGAAAUUAAAUGUUUAUAAUUUAUAUUUUGGGUUUAUGUAUAAAUCAUGGAAUUUAUGCAAAAAUAUGAGUAGUACAGAUUCUCCUCUAAUUCUGUAGGACUUUGAAUAAUGUGAUAUUUUUCUUAUAAUUGGACCCUUGUGUUUUGAAGAAAUGCCAACUGCUUGAAGAAUCUCCUUGUUAUUUGUAUUAUUUGCUAUAGGGUUAGAUGUUGAGAAAUUCUGCUGACAAAAAAUUUUAAGCCAGUUUUACACUAAAUGUUCCUCAGUCUGAUUAAUUUGUUAUUGGAUGUAUUCUGUAUCUUUCUUUUGUAAUUUGUAACUUUUAUCCACUUAGCACGAAUGAUUCUAUUAAAGAAAAUCAUUAGGAAGUGGUAGAAACUUUAAAUCGCCCCAGAGUUUGCCUGUUUCCAUAUUUUAUUAUCUUAUAAUCUUCGGGAGUGCUUACACUUAUGGAGCUAACAUUUUCAGAGAUACAGCUUCUUAUAGUAACACUAAAACUUUCUUCCUCUUUGGACUGAAUACCUAUAAUUAUAACUAUAUGGUAGUUUAAGUUUCCUUGUGAUUAGUCAAAAAUACCAUUUUAGUAUGAAGCAAUGAAGUCUAUUAUUUGUUGUCCCAUAAUUGAGAAAGCUUAAAUACACCUUUUAUUAAGAGUUUGUAAAUUCUAGCUUAGUCUACACAGAUUUUUAUAUCAAUUUGUUUAUAUUUUUAUUAAUGUCAUUUCUGGAAGUGUGAAAAUGUUAAUGUUCAACAAGCAACAUUAAAAAUAGAUUUGAAACAUUUAUAUAUAGAGAGGUACAC